GACGAACGCUGGCGGCGUGCCUAACACAUGCAAGUCGAACGGAAAGGCCCUGCUUUUGUGGGGUGCUCGAGUGGCGAACGGGUGAGUAACACGUGAGUAACCUGCCCUUGACUUUGGGAUAACUUCAGGAAACUGGGGCUAAUACCGGAUAGGAGCUCCUGCUGCAUGGUGGGGGUUGGAAAGUUUCGGCGGUUGGGGAUGGACUCGCGGCUUAUCAGCUUGUUGGUGGGGUAGUGGCUUACCAAGGCUUUGACGGGUAGCCGGCCUGAGAGGGUGACCGGCCACAUUGGGACUGAGAUACGGCCCAGACUCCUACGGGAGGCAGCAGUGGGGAAUAUUGCACAAUGGGCGGAAGCCUGAUGCAGCAACGCCGCGUACGGGAUGACGGCCUUCGGGUUGUAAACCGCUUUCGCCUGUGACGAAGCGUGAGUGACGGUAAUGGGUAAAGAAGCACCGGCUAACUACGUG
rnacentral:rRNA from 1 species